rnacentral:ribozyme from 1 species
UGCCCAGCAACUCCUAUCCCUACCUCCUCGCGGUACUGACCGGGGAACGAGUAACCUUAGGGAACCAACCCCGGUGGAAACUCUGGUCGUAUGCUGACAGGGAAGU